UUCCUCAUUGGUGGUUUUUUUUAUUUUUUAUUUUUUAAUUUUUUUUUUGGUUUUUGUUGUGGCUGAGAUGCUCAAGAGUGUGUUAUUUUUCAGAACAUUUUUUCUUGGCUGGUAUUGGCAGUAUGUAAUGUAAUAAGUGCAUUUAUUGUGAGGAGUUGCUCACACAUCUCAAUUCCCCUUUCACUUCCUUCCUUCCCCUCCAUCUUUCCCCUUUCUGUCUCUUGAUGUCCUUUCAAGACAUCAAGAGAUGUCUUUCUCUUUGAAAAGCAUCUAUCUCUUUACUUUCUAUUAUCUACCUUUUAUUUUGCUCUUUAUUUAUACUUGGAGUUUCCGACAUAAGAGAAAUUACAUGGUAUUUAAGCUUGUGGGUCUAAUUUAUGUCACUUAAUGCCACAGUGCAGAGAGGGUUUCUUUUUCCUUGCGGCCUUGACAGCAUUUGAUAUUUGACUUCUUGAUGUUGGUCAUUCUUUUCAGGAAACUUUUAAAUUUGUGUGAUCCCACUUAUGAUCCUCAGAACUAUUUCCUGUGCAACUGGAGUUCUGUUCAGAAUGUUCUUGCCUAAACCUAUGACUUCUAGAGUUUUACCUAUUUUGUCUUCCAGAAAGGUAUGUGUCUUGCCUCUAAUAUAUAGUGCUUUGAUCCAUUUUGAUUUUAGUUUAGUACAUGGGUCUAGAUUCAAUCUUCUGCAUGUGGGUAGCCACUUUCCCAACACUGUUUAUAAAGAGGGUAUGUUUUGGUCAUUUUUUAAGGAUCAAACCCUUGAACAUGCUUGCAGUUUUUUGGUAUCCUUUACUCUGUUCCAUUGAUCUUCAUGUCUGUUUUUGUGCCAGUACCAUGCUGUUUUUAUCACAAUAGCUUUAUAAAUAACUUCUAGUCCAAAUGCCUCCCACUUUGCUCCCCCACACCAGGACUUCUUUUGCUAUGGUAGGUCUCUCCUGGUUCCAUAUGAAUUUUAGGAUUUAUUUUCUCCUGUUCUAUGAAGAAUGGAAAUUCUGUUGGAAUUUUGAUUAGGACUGCAUUAAGUGUGAUAUCAAAAGAAUGUUGUUGGAAUUUUGAUUGGGAUUGCAUUAAAUGUGACAUCAGUUUUGGAAUUAUGGUUAUUUUGACAAUACAG